rnacentral:other from 1 species
AUUAACCUGGAAUGUGCGACAACUCCUGUUAUUUUGAACCUACAGAUACUUUAAACGGGAUUCCUAUAUUGCCUUGUGGCUGUCAAGCCCUCACUUCAUAGGAAGGAUUGGAAGGGAAGGCAAAAGCAUAGGUUGCGGUUACCCACCUAGCAUAGCUAGGAGUCAAAAGACAGGAACCGGCAUUUUGGGGAUUAC